GAUGAACGCUGGCGGCGUGCCUAAUACAUGCAAGUCGAGCGAACGGACGAGAAGCUUGCUUCUCUGAUGUUAGCGGCGGAUGGGUGAGUAACACGUGGAUAACCUACCUAUAAGACUGGGAUAACUUCGGGAAACCGGAGCUAAUACCGGAUAAUAUUUUGAACCGCAUGGUUCAAAAGUGAAAGACGGUCUUGCUGUCACUUAUAGAUGGAUCCGCGCUGCAUUAGCUAGUUGGUAAGGUAACGGCUUACCAAGGCAACGAUGCAUAGCCGACCUGAGAGGGUGAUCGGCCACACUGGAACUGAGACACGGUCCAGACUCCUACGGGAGGCAGCAGUAGGGAAUCUUCCGCAAUGGGCGAAAGCCUGACGGAGCAACGCCGCGUGAGUGAUGAAGGUCUUCGGAUCGUAAAACUCUGUUAUUAGGGAAGAACAUAUGUGUAAGUAACUGUGCACAUCUUGACGGUACCUAAUCAGAAAGCCACGGCUAACUACGUGCCAGCAGCCGCGGUAAUACGUAGGUGGCAAGCGUUAUCCGGAAUUAUUGGGCGUAAAGCGCGCGUAGGCGGUUUUUUAAGUCUGAUGUGAAAGCCCACGGCUCAACCGUGGAGGGUCAUUGGAAACUGGAAACUUGAGUGCAGAAGAGGAAAGUGGAAUUCCAUGUGUAGCGGUGAAAUGCGCAGAGAUAUGGAGGAACACCAGUGGCGAAGGCGACUUUCUGGUCUGUAACUGACGCUGAUGUGCGAAAGCGUGGGGAUCAAACAGGAUUAGAUACCCUGGUAGUCCACGCCGUAAACGAUGAGUGCUAAGUGUUAGGGGGUUUCCGCCCCUUAGUGCUGCAGCUAACGCAUUAAGCACUCCGCCUGGGGAGUACGACCGCAAGGUUGAAACUCAAAGGAAUUGACGGGGACCCGCACAAGCGGUGGAGCAUGUGGUUUAAUUCGAAGCAACGCGAAGAACCUUACCAAAUCUUGACAUCCUUUGACAACUCUAGAGAUAGAGCCUUCCCCUUCGGGGGACAAAGUGACAGGUGGUGCAUGGUUGUCGUCAGCUCGUGUCGUGAGAUGUUGGGUUAAGUCCCGCAACGAGCGCAACCCUUAAGCUUAGUUGCCAUCAUUAAGUUGGGCACUCUAAGUUGACUGCCGGUGACAAACCGGAGGAAGGUGGGGAUGACGUCAAAUCAUCAUGCCCCUUAUGAUUUGGGCUACACACGUGCUACAAUGGACAAUACAAAGGGCAGUGAAACUGCGAGGUCAAGCAAAUCCCAUAAAGUUGUUCUCAGUUCGGAUUGUAGUCUGCAACUCGACUACAUGAAGCUGGAAUCGCUAGUAAUCGUAGAUCAGCAUGCUACGGUGAAUACGUUCCCGGGUCU
rnacentral:rRNA from 1 species